rnacentral:rRNA from 1 species
AUUGAACGCUGGCGGCAUGCCUUACACAUGCAAGUCGAACGGCAGCACGGGGCAACCUGGUGGCGAGUGGCGAACGGGUGAGUAAUGCAUCGGAACGUACCUUUCAGUGGGGGAUAACGUAGCGAAAGUUACGCUAAUACCGACUAUUCUGUGAGCAGGAAAGCGGGGGAUCGAAAGACCUUGCGCUGAUUGAGCGGCCGAGGGCAGAUUAGCUAGUUGGUGAGGUAAAGGCUCACCAAGGCGACGAUCUGUAGCGGGUCUGAGAGGAUGAUCCGCCACACUGGAACUGAGACACGGUCCAGACUCCUACGGGAGGCAGCAGUGGGGAAUUUUGGACAAUGGGGGCAACCCUGAUCCAGCCAUGCCGCGUGAGUGAAGAAGGCCUUCGGGUUGUAAAGCUCUUUCGGCCGGGAAGAAAUCGCACGGGCUAAUACCCUGUGUGGAUGACGGUACCGGAAUAAGAAGCACCGGCUAACUACGUGCCAGCCGCCGCCGUAACAC